UUAUUCACAGCUUAAAUAUUGAUCUUCACAGUUACCCAUCUACACCCAUCUGUUUUGGGAUUUUGGGAAGCUCUUCGGGUUGAAAGAUCGCCUAAUAAUCGAAAGUGUUGAGAUACAGUGCAGCAAGCUAAUAAAGAUUGUACGGAGGAAAGGAAGUCUGACUAUUUUUAGCCAAUAUAGCGUAUUGCGUAUAAAAAGUUCACCAUUCGAGCAUUUCAACAGCAGCUCUAUACUGUAGUUUAAGCAAUAAAAAGGAAUAAUUAUUAAAACUAAUCUUUAUUGUCUAUGUAAAUGAAGGCCCACCCCAAUCAAUCACACAAAUCGAUCGUUAAAUAUUUUUUGUAUUUUUUUUUAUUUAAUUUUAAAGUUUUUACAUGAUUUUUAAAAAUUGUAUUUUAAAAGCAUUGCAUUAUGUCAUAUAAAGUAUGAUAUCAUUACAUUAUACAAUUGUAUGUUUUUCAUUUGUUUUGUGUGUUUAACCAUAAGUUAAAUUUAUGUUUAAGCAUUUCAUAAUUCAAUAGCAGUAAAUUGUUUUCAGAGACCAUGGCUAUAUAUGUAUCAUAUAUAUAUAGUGUGUAAGUAUUAUGUAUGUUAUGUGUAUGUGUUUGUAUCAUGUGUGCAUGUGUGGAUAUAAACACGACUAAAACUAAAAAUUGUGAAAUAUCGCCCCGUCUAGGGGCUACAAAUAAUCAAGGGACAGAAUGGUAGGUAAAUAAAA